GGGGAGCAGCGGGGGCCGCCGGGGGGCCAGGAGUUGCAGGGCUCCGCUUGCAGACAGCGCGGCAGCCCCAGUGGCAAGGAAGCAGGUGGUGUUUGGGGGCCUGCUUGACGUUAGGGCCUUCCUUGUCCCUGUGAACAAACGCUCCACACCUUUCGCGGGGCACUUUCUUACAUGUAUGAGAACUCAAAAAGUUUUGUGCCCCUGAAUUCAGGCUGGGCAUGGGCUCCAGGAGCAAACUCGCCUCCCGGGAAAGCCAGGUCUACGGUGGACACAGGGGGCAUCGCCAAACCGCAUUUCCCUAAAACAACAGCAGCAGUUAUUUUGACAAAGUGAACAGAGCCAGAGCCCAGGGGCUUGGCUGAGCUCGCCCGGCCUCACCCUAGCCACAGGCCCUCUCGGGAGCAGUCACUGCCCCGUCCUCCCUGAAGGUUGGCACCUGGAACUCAAGGGUCACAGCCCUCCAGCAGGAAGAGGACUGCGCUCCCCAGGCUUUUGAGAAUGGAGACUGAGAUCGCCUGCGCUGUGGAGCUUUGCGGGGAGGAAGGGUAGAGCUCGUUGUUAUAAUUGUGACUGAAGGAGACAGUACACCAGGCGACUGGCUCUUGGAGAGCGAAGGAUGAGCUGGCUGGAGGCGGGGGAACAGGGAGGCUUCGCCUUCUCUCAUUGGAGCAGAAAAUGGUAGAAUGGAACCUAUUAUCCGCUGUAUUA